rnacentral:rRNA from 1 species
UGCUAAUACCGCAUACGCCCUACGGGGGAAAGGAGGGGACCUUCGGGCCUUUCGCGAUUAGAUGAGUCUAGGUGGGAUUAGCUAGUAGGUGAGGUAAUGGCUCACCUAGGCGACGAUCCCUAGCUGUUCUGAGAGGAUGAUCAGCCACACUGGGACUGAGACACGGCCCAGACUCCUACGGGAGGCAGCAGUGGGGAAUAUUGCACAAUGGGCGAAAGCCUGAUGCAGCCAUGCCGCGUGUGUGAAGAAGGCCUUCGGGUUGUAAAGCACUUUCAGCGAGGAGGAAAGGUUGUGUGUUAAUAGCACAUAGCUGUGACGUUACUCGCANAANAAGCACCGGCUAACUUCGUGCCAGCAGCCGCGGUAAUACGAGGGGUGCAAGCGUUAAUCGGAAUUACUGGGCGUAAAGCGUACGCAGGCGGUUUGUUAAGCCAGAUGUGAAAGCCCCGGGCUCAACCUGGGAAUUGCAUUUGGAACUGGCAAACUAGAGUCUUGUAGAGGGGGGUAGAAUUUCAGGUGUAGCGGUGAAAUGCGUAGAGAUCUGAAGGAAUACCGGUGGCGAAGGCGGCCCCCUGGACAAAGACUGACGCUCAGGUACGA